GGGGAGACAAAGCGGCCCCGCAGCUCGCAGCUGCGCUCCCCGGGGCCGCGGGGGAGGCCUGGCGCGGCCGGAGCCCAGGGAGGAAGUAUUUCUUUCCUAAACCUCCGGGGAGCUGCACCUAGAGGAUUCUGCUGAGAAAUAAAACACCGUCCCAGCUCGCUGGUCGGGGGGAUUUUGUCUCCGGGAGCCCCUGAGUCAGGAACAGGGCAUCCGACUCACAUCUCCACCACCCGGACACCGGAGUGUCCCUGACCACGGGGACAGCAGCGUUCACUGCUCCUUGCGGGACCUUGCUAAGCCGCAGGGAUGCUCAGCACGUUCGCUCCUCAUCCAUCGCUCCUGAUGCCCUUUUCCUGGUCUGCUCUCACGUUGCCAUCUUUCUGGGCUUUGAGAGAAGAGAAGGGGGGAAAAAAGUUGUAGCUUUGGGAAAUCUUGAAAUGUAUUCAGUGACCUUAGACGUUUGCUUCGUCUGCCUCAGGGAGAUAAGCGAUGGGAGGCAAGGGAGAGAAAUUAGCUUCUGGAGGCCAUAAACGUGGAAAAUCUCUUCCUGCUGAGAGAUAUGGGGACUAAACUGGCAUCUUGGGGGAAAGGUGUGUGCUCUCCAUGACCUACAAACCACGCUGGUUUCCUUGAGCCAACGUGUGACAGGCUUUCAGGCCCGUGUGCACUCCUACUGUUAGUGUGCUUCCCGUCACAGCGACUCAAACUGUAACUGCCCAGCGUCGCCCACAGCUAGCCAGUCCUAAAGUGACUCUUAUCACUUCCUCGCAGGGUGACAGGGUGAGCAGGUCGUGAGCGUGCACAGGAAGAGGUCUCUAGACAGCGCUGUGACCAAGCCGGACAGCCGGACACGUGGCCGAUGUCUUGAGGUGCAAGCAAGUCAAGAAGUGCUGUGGGUCCGUGUCGCACGAUGGCCACCACCUGACUCAAGAUGUUAGGCCGGUCCCGGGGGCCCCUGGGAGCUGGUCUUCGCCUCUGCCUUGUGACACCAAACCAAGGUCUCAUUUUUAAUGCUAUUAAGAAGCUGUGCCCAAGGCUUUGGCCUUGUUAUCUCCCUUAACAACGUUAUUUUGUUUGGCUGCAAAAUAAGCAGCAUGGGGUUAAAUGUAUUAGCUGCCUUCAAACCUAAUUUAUCUUCAUUCCUUCCUAAUUUACACUCGGGCUGAAUUAAUGAGAAUGAUUUAAUUAACACAGUGCGACCACGGUACCAGGGAUAGGACAGCUCAGGGGAUUAGAGCAGACAGUGGGCCAGGCAGCUGCCGUCCAGCCUCCUGUGGUCCCCCCGAGGCCCCACCCGAACUUCACACACACCCGUCCCUGCCCUGCCCGCCUUCCAAGUGUCUUCUUUGUUCUUUGAUCCACUUCCUGAAUCUGUGUGAGGAAAAUGGCACUGCCUUCCUUCCUCGGGUCAUGUCCGCCGGUCGUCAAGGCUGUGGCCUGCAGAAUCGGUGCAGCAGGGAGGCCCGGUGCUCUCCCUCCUGUGUCAGGUUCCCGCGGGGAAAUGGCCACAGAGCCAGGGACAGACUCCCCUGGCUGCACUCGUCCUGGGAUCAACACCAGCGGAAGGAGCGGGGGCUUCUCGGGGAUGCCUCUCAGCUGAGGCCCUGGCUGGAGCCGAAACACCCCUCAGAGUUGCCCCCAGGAAAAGUGAGAAGGCCCGGUUGUAUGAGGCUGCCUGGGCCAGUUCCCCAGUACAGGCUCCCCAGGAGAGGGACCAAGGCCUGGGUCCAGUGGCCUGAUCCCACAGAGUCCUCAGCCCUCCAGGGACAGGGGCCCAGGGCCUCCUGCUGCCCGUACCCCCAGCAGCUGGGCGGGGGGGUGUCUAGUCUCCCUGGAGGAGUGAGGCCAUGGGCACAGGGCCCCCUUCGACACUUCCUCUAACAGAGAAUCAAACCUAGAGAAAUGAGACCUCAGCUCCUACCAGCACACCUCUUACCUUAAAAAAAAAAAAAAAAAAAA